rnacentral:rRNA from 1 species
ACAUGCCUAUAACAUAGCAUUAAUUCACCAAAUCCCAUUAGAACUCCGCAGUUAAGCACGCUCGGGAUAGAGUAUUACUGGGAUGGGUGACCGCCCUGGAAGUCCUAGUAUUUUACAUGCC